rnacentral:lncRNA from 1 species
UUUUUUUUUUUUUUUUUUGAGACGGACCGUCAAUCUUGUUGCCCCAGUUGGAGUGCAAUGGUGCAAUCUCAGCUCACUGCAACCUCCAUCUCCCACGUUCAAGCAAUUCUCCUGCCUCAGCCUCCCGAGUAAGUGGGAUAAUAGGCGCCCGCCACCACGCUCAGCUAAUUUUUUGUAUUUUUAGUAGAGACAGCGUUUUACCAUGUUGGCCAGGCUGGUUUCGAACUCCUGAACUCAGGUGAUCCACCUGCCUUGGCCUCCCAAAGUGCUGGGAUUAUAGGCGUGAGCCACCAUGCCCGGCCUGCAACUUUUAUAUUUAUUUCUUAGAGGCAGGGUCUUGCUCCUUUGCCCAGGCUGGAGUGCAGUGAUGCAAUCAUAGCUCACUGCGACCUUGAACUCCUGGGCUCGUUACCCUCCCACCUCAGCCUCCCAAAGUGCUGGGAUCACAGGCAUGAGCCAUCGUCCCCAGCUGGGAAGGGCAGUUUAUGUUUGUUUAUUUUGUGAGGCAGAGUCUCACUCUGUUGCCCAGGCUGGAGUGCAGUGGCGUGAUCUCAGCUCACUGCAGCCUUGACCUCCCUGGGCUCAAGUGAUCCUCCCACUUCAGCCUCCUGAAUAGCUAGGACUAUGGGCGUGUGCCACUGUGGCCAGCUAAUUUUUGUAGAGAUGGGGUUUCACCAUACAGCCUAGGCUGGGAGAAGCAAUUUAAAUAAUGUAGUAUUUUGUACACCGUACAGAUGGUUCCCAACUUAUGAUGGCUCAACUUUAUGAUGGUGUGAAAGCUAUAUGCAUUCAGUAGAAAUCAUACUUUGGGUACCUAUCAAUCAUUCUUUCACUUUCAGUACAGUAUUCAAUAAAUUACAUGAGAUAUUCAAUACUUUAUUGUAAAAUAGGCUUUGUGUUAGAUAAUUUUGCCCAAAUGCAGCUAACGUAAGUGUUCUAAGAAUAUUUAAGGUAGGCGAAACUAAGCUAUGAUGUGUGGUAGGUUAUGUGUAUUAAAUGCAUUUUCGACUUAAGAUAUUUUUGAUUUAGGAUGGGUUUAUCAGGAUGUAACCCCAUCAUAAGUCAAGGAGCAUCUGUACGUUACUUUAUGUAUUCGUAUAUAUAAAGGAUUCUAUUCACAAAACCAU